rnacentral:rRNA from 1 species
UGGGGAAUAUUGGACAAUGGGCGCAAGCCUGAUCCAGCCAUGCCGCGUGAGUGAUGAAGGCCUUAGGGUUGUAAAGCUCUUUCGCCGGUGAAGAUAAUGACGGUAACCGGAGAAGAAGCCCCGGCUAACUUCGUGCCAGCAGCCGCGGUAAUACGAAGGGGGCUAGCGUUGCUCGGAAUCACUGGGCGUAAAGCGCACGUAGGCGGAUCGUUAAGUCAGGGGUGAAAUCCUGGAGCUCAACUCCAGAACUGCCCUUGAUACUGGCGAUCUCGAGUUCGAGAGAGGUUGGUGGAACUCCGAGUGUAGAGGUGAAAUUCGUAGAUAUUCGGAAGAACACCAGUGGCGAAGGCGGCCAACUGGCUCGAUACUGACGCUGAGGUGCGAAAGCGUGGGGAGCAAAACAGGAUUAGAUACCCUGGUAGUCCACGCCGUAAACGAUGGAUGCUAGCCGUUGGGGGGUUUACCUCUCAGUGGCGCAGCUAACGCCUUAAGCAUCCCGCCUGGGGAGUACGGUCGCAAGAUUAAAACUCAAAUGAAUUGACGGGGUCAUAGCUGUUUCCU